AUGGGGAAACCCGGCCCGCAAGGGUCAUCAUUAUCUGAAUACAUAGGGUAAUGAGGCGAACCUGGGGAACUGAAACAUCUAAGUACCCAGAGGAAAGGAAAUCAACCGAGACUCCGUGAGUAGCGGCGAGCGAAAGCGGAUUGCGACUUAAGUCAGUGAACGCGUUGGAAAGCGCGGCCAAAGAAGGUGAUAGCCCUGUAGUUGGAUGAUGUCGCUCAGCCCUAGAGUAGCGUCGGUGUCGUGAAACCCGGCGUGAACAUGGGGGGUCCACCCUCCAAGGCUAAGUACUACUUGACGACCGAUAGUUAACCAGUAAGGCGACUGAAUGAUGAAAACUACCCCUGCUAGGGGUGUGAAAGAGUAGCUGAAACCAUGUGCUUACACAGCGGUCAGAGCCCUUCGGGGUGAUGGCGUGCCUUUUGCAUAAUGACCCGGCGAGUUACUCUCAUUGGCGAGGUUAAGGCCUAGCGGGCCGAAGCCGAAGCGAAAGCGAGUCUGAAAUAGGCGUUGAGUCGAUGGGAGUAGACGCGAAACCUUGUGAUCUACCCAUGGGCAGGCUGAAGGCCGGGUAAAACCGGCUGGAGGGCCGAACGCACCAACGUUGAAAAGUUGGGCGAUGACCUGUGGGGAGGACUAAAAGUGUAAUCAAACUGGGAGAUAGCUCGUUCUCUCCGAAAUAUUUUUAGGAAUAGCCUCUUGCGGCAACUGUUGGGGGUAGAGCCACUGGAUACGGAUGGGGCCCUCGGGUACCCACUGUAACCAAACUCCGAAUACCAACAGCCAAGGCAAGGGAGUCAGCCCACGAGUGACAAUAUCCGUGGACAAAAGGGAAACAUCCCAGACCGCCAGCUAAGGUCCCUGAACAUUGCUUAGUUCUAAAGGAAGUCGAAGCGCAAAGACAGCCAGGAUGUUGGCUUAGAAGCAGCCACCAUUUAAAGAGUGCGUAAUAGCUCACUGGUCGAGGGUUUCGGCGCCGAUAAUGAUCGGGAAUAAGCAAUGUACCGAAGCUGCGGGCUGCGUAAGCAGCGGUAGGAGAGCGUUCCUGUCAGCAGAGAAGGCGUCCCGAAAGGGUCGCUGGAGCGUCAGGAAGUGAAUAUGCCGGGUUGAGUAACGAUAAAGCAGGUGAAAAUCCUGCUCGCCGAAAAUCUAAGGUUUCCUGGGGAAGGUAAAUCCGCCCAGGGUCAGCCGGGACCUAAGGUGAGGCCGAAAGGCGUAGCCGAUGGACGGCAGGUUAAUAUUCCUGCGCUACUGUGGAGAUCAAUCAUGAGUGCGGAUCGGUCAGCCCUGCGUAAGCACCAGCUUGCUGAGGCCCUUGAGGCCGCUGCAGGGGGCUCUGGUCCCGAGAAAAGCUCAUGUGGCAAAGCAGUACCCGUACCAAAACCGACACAGGUAGAUGAGGUGAAUAACCUAAGGCGCUCGAGAUAACGGAAGUGAAGGAAUUAGGCAAAUUGACCCCGUAAGUUCGCGAUAAGGGGGCCCUACCCCUCGGGGAGGGCGCAGAGAAAAGGCUCUGGCGACUGUUUAUCAAAAACACAGCACUGUGCUAACUCGCAAGAGGACGUAUACAGUGUGACGCCUGCCCAAUGCCGGAAUGUCACGGAAGCGGGUUAGCUUCGGCGAAGCUCGUAACCUAAGCACCGGUCAAUGGCGGCCGUAACUAUGACGGUCCUAAGGUAGCGAAGUUCCUUGUCGGGUAAGUUCCGACGCGCAUGAAUGGCGUAACGACUGGAGCACUGUCUCCACUUCCGACUCGGUGAAAUAGUAGUGGCGGUGAAGAUGCCGCCUACCCGCGACAAGACGGAAAGACCCCAUGAACCUUUACUAUAGGCUUUUAUUGCACAUGAGUUUGUAUUGCGUAGGAUAGGUGGGAGGCUUUGAAGCGG
rnacentral:rRNA from 1 species